CUCCUACGGGAGGCAGCAGUAAGGAAUAUUGGUCAAUGGACGCAAGUCUGAACCAGCCAUGCCGCGUGGAGGAUGAAGGUCCUCUGGAUUGUAAACUUCUUUAUUGGAAGAAACCCCGAUUUCUAGUUGGGGUUGACGGUACCAGAUGAAUAAGCACCGGCUAACUCCUUGCCAGCAGCCGCGGUAAUAC
rnacentral:rRNA from 1 species